rnacentral:rRNA from 1 species
UACAGAGGGGGCAAGCGUUGUUCGGAAUUACUGGGCGUAAAGGGCGCGUAGGCGGCCUGUUAAGUCGAACGUGAAAUCCCCGGGCUCAACCCGGGAACUGCGUCCGAUACUGGCAGGCUUGAAUCCGGGAGAGGGAUGUGGAAUUCCAGGUGUAGCGGUGAAAUGCGUAGAUAUCGGAAGGAACAUCAGUGGCGAAAGCGGCUUCCUGGACCAGCACCGACGUUCAGGCACGAAAGCGUGGGGAGCAAACAGG